AAUUUUAACACAUCCUCUUUAGGUGUUUUAUGCAAUUGAAAAAUCGUGUUGAUCCUGAAUACAAAGUGCAAGGUUUGGCAGUUUGUAGAUCUGAGCUGCUACAUUUAGUGACCCAACUUAACUGCUGCCAAUGCCACCUAUGCAUCUUCCUGUGAUUUUCAAGGAUGCCUUGAUAUUUAAGCAAUUAGCUUCUCAUACCUGUCCUCCUCCUUACCUCAAAUUACUCAGAACCUUACAAUAUGACAUUAU